CUAUAGCUAAUUAAGGCAACCAUAUUCUUUUCCCUGUAGGGCCCAGUGUGCAAUGCCUGGGGCAGUGCAAACAGUAGUUUCUUAGGCAAUUAUGCAGACUAUUGCUUGUAUGAAUUGCCCAAAGAGACCUGGGAAAUAGUC